rnacentral:rRNA from 1 species
UGGGGAAUAUUGCACAAUGGGGGAAACCCUGAUGCAGCGACGCCGCGUGAAGGAAGAAGUAUCUCGGUAUGUAAACUUCUAUCAGCAGGGAAGAUAAUGACGGUACCUGACUAAGAAGCCCCGGCUAACUACGUGCCAGCAGCCGCGGUAAUACGUAGGGAGCAAGCGUUAUCCGGAUUUACUGGGUGUAAAGGGUGCGUAGGCGGCUUGGUAAGUCAGAUGUGAAAUGUAUGGGCUCAACCCAUGCACUGCAUUUGAAACUAUUGAGCUUGAGUGAAGUAGAGGUAGGCGGAAUUCCCUGUGUAGCGGUGAAAUGCGUAGAGAUAGGGAGGAACACCAGUGGCGAAGGCGGCCUACUGGGCUUUAACUGACGCUGAGGCACGAAAGCGUGGGUAGCAAACAGGAUUAGAUACCCUGGUAGUCCACGCUGUAAACGAUGAUUACUAGGUGUGGGGGGUCUGACCCCUUCCGUGCCGGAGUUAACACAAUAAGUAAUCCACCUGGGGAGUACGACCGCAAGGUUGAAACUCAAAGGAAUUGACGGGGGCCCGCACAAGCAGUGGAGUAUGUGGUUUAAUUCGAAGCAACGCGAAGAACCUUACCAGGUCUUGACAUCCUUCUGACCGGUCCUUAACCGGACCUUUCCUUCGGGACAGGAGAGACAGGUGGUGCAUGGUUGUCGUCAGCUCGUGUCGUGAGAUGUUGGGUUAAGUCCCGCAACGAGCGCAACCCUUGCUAUUAGUUGCUACGCAAGAGCACUCUAAUAGGACUGCCGUUGACAAAACGGAGGAAGGUGGGGACGACGUCAAAUCAUCAUGCCCCUUAUGACCUGGGCUACACACGUACUACAAUGGCAAUGAACAGAGGGAAGCAAUACAGUGAUGUGGAGCAAAUCCCCAAAAAUAACGUCUCAGUUCAGAUUGUAGGCUGCAACUCGCCUACAUGAAGUCGGAAUUGCUAGUAAUCGCAGAUCAGCAUGCUGCGGUGAAUACGUUCCC